rnacentral:rRNA from 1 species
AGCGAACGCUGGCGGCAGGCCUAACACAUGCAAGUCGAACGAACCUUUCGGGGUUAGUGGCGGACGGGUGAGUAACACGUGGGAACGUGCCUUUAGGUUCGGAAUAACUCAGGGAAACUUGUGCUAAUACCGAAUGUGCCCUUCGGGGGAAAGAUUUAUCGCCUUUAGAGCGGCCCGCGUCUGAUUAGCUAGUUGGUUGGGGUAAUGGCUCACCAAGGCGUCGAUCAGUAGCUGGUCUGAGAGGAUGAUCAGCCACAUUGGGACUGAGACACGGCCCAAACUGCUACGGGGGGCAGCAGUGGGGAAUCCUACGCAAUGGGCGAAAGCCUGACGCAGCCAUGCCGCGUGAAUGGUGAAGGGCUUAGGAUUGUAAAAUUCUUUCACCGGGGACGAUAAUGACGGUACCCGGAGAAGAAGCCCCGGCUAACUUCGUG